GGAAAAGUCGAACUUUCAAAUAGGUCACCUCAACAACACUAACAACAACAUUCCUCUUGGAAUGAAAGGAUGUUAAAGCUUGAAGAAACACUUCAACAAUUCAUGCAAGUCCCUAUCUCCAAUCACAAGAGCACAUAAGCAUCCAUUCGCAAUUUGGAUAUGCAAAUGGGCCAAUUGGCACAAAACGUGGAGGAAAAUUUUGAAAAAAAAUUACAGCCAACACUAAGGUCAAC
rnacentral:lncRNA from 1 species